rnacentral:rRNA from 1 species
UACGAAGGGGGCUAGCGUUGCUCGGAAUUACUGGGCGUAAAGCGCACGUAGGCGGUUUCUUAAGUCGGUGGUGAAAUCCGUGGAGCUCAACUCCAGAACUGCCUUCGAUACUGAGAGUCUUGAGUCCGGGAGAGGUGGAGUGGAACUGCGAGUGUAGAGGUGAAAUUCGUAGAUAUUCGCAAGAACACCAGUGGCGAAGGCGGCUC